GCGGAAGUAACUCAGGGGUAGAGUUCCAGCCUUCCAAGCUGGGUGCCGCGGGUUCGAAUCCCGUCUUCCGCUCCA
rnacentral:tRNA from 1 species